rnacentral:rRNA from 1 species
AACAGCGGAGAGUUUGAUCCUGGCUCAGGAUGAACGCUAGCUGCAGGCCUAACACAUGCAAGUCGAACGGCAGCGGGGGAGGAGCUUGCUCCUCCCGCCGGCGAGUGGCGCACGGGUGAGUAACACGUAUGCAACCUGCCCCUGUCAGGGGGACAACCUCCCGAAAGGGAGGCUAAUCCCCCAUACAUCGCCCCGGGGCAUCCCGGGGCGAGGAAAGGAAUCCCGGACAGGGAUGGGCAUGCGGCGCAUUAGGCAGACGGCGGGGUGACGGCCCACCGUGCCGACGAUGCGUAGGGGUUCUGAGAGGAAGGCCCCCCACACUGGUACUGAGACACGGACCAGACUCCUACGGGAGGCAGCAGUGAGGAAUAUUGGUCAAUGGGAGAGAUCCUGAACCAGCCAAGUAGCGUGAGGGACGAAGGCCCUACGGGUCGUAAACCUCUUUUGUCAGCGAACAACGCCCUCCACGCGUGGAGGAAUGAGUGUAGCUGAAGAAAAAG